CACGUAGUUAGCCGGUGCUUAUUCUUACGGUACCGUCAUCACUCUCCUUUAUUAGAAGAGAGCUUUUCGUUCCGUACAAAAGUAGUUUACAACCCGAGGGCCUUCAUCCUACACGCGGCAUUGCUGGAUCAGGCUUUCGCCCAUUGUCCAAAAUUCCCCACUGCUGCCUCCCGUAGGAGUCUGGGCCGUGUCUCAGUCCCAGUGUGGCUGGUCGUCCUCUCAGACCAGCUACAGAUCGUCGGCUUGGUAAGCUUUUAUCCCACCAACUACCUAAUCUGCCAUCAGCCGCUCUAGUAGCGCAAGGCCCGAAGGUCCCCUGCUUUCAUCCUUAGAUCUCAUGCGGUAUUAGCUACUCUUUCGAGUAGUUAUCCCCCACUACUAGGCACGUUCCGAUGUGUUACUCACCCGUUCGCCACUCGUCAGCAUCCGAAGACCUGUUACCGUUCGACUUGCAUGUGUAAAGCAUGCCGCUAGCGUUCAAUCUGAGCCAGGAUCAAACU
rnacentral:rRNA from 1 species